AUGAAGCACGGCCAGGGCCUACAGCAGGGUGACCCGGUAUCCCCGCUACUAUUUGUCCUCGCCAUUGACCCGCUUCAGCAAUUGCUAGAUCUGGCCACGACUAAAGGGCUACUGCACAAGAUUAGGGGUCGUGGCUCCUCCUUUCGUACCUCCCUUUACGCCGAUGAUGCGGCUGUUUUUGUUAAGCCAAUAAAAUACGAUGUAACCAACCUUGCCGCCAUUCUGCAUUGCUUUGGAGAGGUCACCGGUCUCUGCACUAAUCUCCACAAAAGCUCAGUCGUCCCUAUCCGCUGUCAGAACUAUGAUCUUGACAACAUCCUCCAGGGGCUCCCGGCGGCGCGGGCUUCCUUCCCCCUAAAGUACUUGGGCCUUCCUCUGUCAGUUCGGAGGCUCAAGCGUGUGGACUUCCAAUAUCUCGAAGAUAAAGUGGCUACCAAGCUUAUUCCUUGGGAGGGAAGAUAUAUUGCCGCUCCGGGUCGUGGGGUCUUGGUCAUGUCGGUCAUGACCUCCUUGGUGGUCUACACUGCCACGGCCCUCGUCAUCCCUCCCGGCAUUUUAAGCAACAUCACCAGGCUGGAGCGUGCCUUCUUCUGGUCGGGGUCUAGCAAAACGACCGGGGCCAAAUGUAAAGUCAACUGGGAAAGCGUCUGUAGGCCUAAGGAGUGUGGCGGCCUUGGUGUGCUCAAUCUUGCGAAUUUUUGCCAAGCACUCAGACUCCGCUGGUUGUGGCUCGAGUGGACGGACCCUUCUCGCUUGUGGGUUGGGCUUGGAAAUCCAUGCGACAAGGACGACAAAGCUUUUUUCUACGCCUCCACUACUAUCACGAUUGGGGAUGGGGCGCGCGCCCCUUUUUGGGAGUCCCCGUGGCUCAAUGGGAGGAAACCAAAAGAUAUUGCCCCGCUUAUUUUUGACGCCUCCAAGAGGAAAACCUGA
rnacentral:rRNA from 1 species